UACAGAGGUCUCAAGCGUUGUUCGGAUUCAUUGGGCGUAAAGGGCGCGUAGGCGGCCAUGCGUGUCUUCCGUGAAAUCCCUCGGCUCAACCGAGGACGUGCGGAAGAAACUGCAAGGCUCGAGUCCGGAAGAGGGGGGCGGAAUUCCCAGUGUAGCGGUGAAAUGCGUAGAUAUUGGGAGGAACACCAGUGGCGAAGGCGGUCCCCUGGGCCGGAACUGACGCUGAGGCGCGAAAGCGUGGGUAGCAAACGGG
rnacentral:rRNA from 1 species